GACACCCUGCGCCGCGCGAUUGGUUGCAGCCUUUUAUAAUCCGACAAGUUAAUUAAACGGGAGCUUUUUGUCCGGCGUGGGACUGCAGACCUCCCUGCUUUUGCAGGACGAUGGGAGCGCGAAAGCGUUGGCAGGGCACCCACCUGUCAUGUUGAGAGACGGGUUUUAACUUGGCCGCAGACGGCGGGGCGGGGUUUUU
rnacentral:other from 1 species